UAAAUGGGUUAGCUUAAUUAUUCUUUUAAGCAGUAAACAUAACGAUACAGACUAAAGUUAUUAAUCAACUUUGUUGGACCUUGAUAGAAUUGUAGGGAACUUGAACAGAAACUUGUUAUGAUCAAAAGACAGUACCCAGAGCACUUGGUUUUCUUCUUCAUUUUUCUGUGCUAUUCUUGAUUUUUAACAACCAGGAAUGCUUUAAGCCAAAUAUUUGAAAGUUAAACCAUAUUUAUAGAGCUAGUGAAGAG
rnacentral:lncRNA from 1 species